rnacentral:rRNA from 1 species
GAUGAACGCUGGCGGCGUGCCUAAUACAUGCAAGUCGAGCGAACAGACGAGGAGCUUGCUCCUCUGACGUUAGCGGCGGACGGGUGAGUAACACGUGGAUAACCUACCUAUAAGACUGGGAUAACUUCGGGAAACCGGAGCUAAUACCGGAUAAUAUAUUGAACCGCAUGGUUCAAUAGUGAAAGACGGUUUUGCUGUCACUUAUAGAUGGAUCCGCGCCGCAUUAGCUAGUUGGUAAGGUAACGGCUUACCAAGGCGACGAUGCGUAGCCGACCUGAGAGGGUGAUCGGCCACACUGGAACUGAGACACGGUCCAGACUCCUACGGGAGGCAGCAGUAGGGAAUCUUCCGCAAUGGGCGAAAGCCUGACGGAGCAACGCCGCGUGAGUGAUGAAGGUCUUCGGAUCGUAAAGCUCUGUUAUUGGGGAAGAACAAAUGUGUAAGUAACUAUGCACGUCUUGACGGUACCUAAUCAGAAAGCCACGGCUAACUACGUG